CCUAACCACACACUUUUAUACACCUUUUUACACACAUUUUGUACAGUACUCCCUUAGUUAAUCAGGACACAGAACACACGCGGUUCACCCUUAGCCAGUUAAGGACGCAGAACACAAUGCGCUGUAAAAAAAAAAGCAUGCAAAAUUACACAAAAAAAAUCUGCGAAACAGCGAGUCCGUGAAAAGUGAACCGCGUUAUAGCGUUUCACUGAGAUAUAUGACUUAUGUACAGUUGGACAGAGACAGACAGACACAGAGAUUUCAUAAACGUAUUGUAGGUUCCUAAUCAGUGAAGCUUGACGCUCUCCUCCCUUGUUAUCCACUUGAACGACAAAAAAAAAACUCCAGACGAUUCCUUCCUCCUUUCCUCCGAAAAAUAAGGCAAAAUACAAUAGUCCAGCAUUAUGAAAAUAAAAAAGGCAAGAGCCAAAGACAGCAAAAAUGCAGAGUCUAAAGGUGAAGUAAAGAGCAAAGAGAGAGGUCAGAAAACUGUGUCUCUACUCCAUGACACUGACCUGACUGCCUGCUUUACGUCAACCACGCGCACAAACUCAUCCUCCUAAAGGUUACAUGUGCAAUUUUUAAACCUAAAAACAUCCACACAUUUUUAAGUGAAAUUAAUUAAGUACUAACUUAUUAAUAUGAACUGUUCACCUGUAAAUAAUGUAAAUAACCCUUUUUUUUAUCAUAAUUAACAACAAUCUUUUUUCAGAUAUCAACUUAAAUAAUUAUUCAAAUACUUAUCCUAUACUUAGCGUUAUUUUUAAUCAUUCAAAUUUGGCUGGGUGGUUAAUAACACUUUCUUCUUUAGUCUGACAAACUCAAAACACAUAUUUAUUUUGACUUUAAAUGUGUGACCACUUGUUUUGUACCAGGCUGUGAACAUGUUUAUUUCUGCUGUGAAGUUGGACAUUUGAACAUGGGGACUUAUGGCUUAUGGGGCCAGCUUCAAAUGGACGUUUGAGGAACUGUUAACAUAUAGGUAUUAAAAUGUUUUUUUAAUGUAGGUUUUCUUUUUUUUUUUUCUGACCUUGUGGAUAGACAAAAUAUUGCUUUUGGUUUUUUUUUCUUAUUGUGUUUCAAGUUCAAGUUCCAAAAUAAAAUUUAAAUCAGUCUGUGCAGUGUCCCAAAAUAUAUUUUUUAAAGACUUGCUUAUAUGCUUCAGUAUCACAAACACUGUUUUUUCCUUUUUUCUUUUUUUAUGACGUGAUAAAGUUUAAUUUAAACAGAUUAAUCUGACAUAUAGGAAUGGAGCAAAAAUGUGUAGAGACACGCUGCUGUCACACAAACUUUUACAAACGUGACAUUAAUGCAGCUUUAAGUUACAAACCUGAUAACUGAGCCUGCAGUGUAAAAACAGAGUCAUGUUUGGAGGAGGGGCUCCAUCAUUUAGAGAAGUUCCUGGUUUACCAGUGAAGAAAGAAGAGAGGCAGUCUAAAACCACCAGAGGCUCAAACAUGAACGUCCGUCACACUUUAAUCUGCUUCUUCUUCCUCUGUGGAAACACUAGUCUCAUCACUGAGGGGAUCCCCAUUAUUACCGUGCAGGAGGGAGGAAACAUCAGACAUCAGUGCAAAUUCAUUUUCUCUGGAAGGAAAAGGGCGCUCUAUAAAAAAGACAGCGUCCUCAUUGAAACAUAUGAGGACACAGCUCAGCGUGGCAGAUACAGUAUUAGAUAUACACCAGGAACCAGUGUACUACCUCCAGUUCUGUAUGUGAGCAUCACAAACCUGAUCAAGUCUGACUCAGGGCAGUACAAAUGUGUUUUGGGCAGAUGGUUUGAUGAAUCAACCGAUAAGUUUGAGAUCAGAGUUGAAGAUGCUCCAACCACUCUGAAACCAACAACACAGAGUUUAAGCCGUAGUUCAGAAAGCUCCACACCUUCAUCAACCUCCAUACAAACAACAAUAUUGACACCUGCUACACGUCCAGGAAGUAUUUUUCAGUCAGAAUCUACAACUACAUUUCCAGAAAAGUUGGCAAGCUGCAUCAAAUCAGCUGUGCUGAUAUCGUUCAGUAAGAUGGCCUGUGAAUCCAAAGAACCUCCUGUGGAGACUGUGAAUGACACAGAGGUGAGUUUGACUAAAUUUGGGACAUUGAGCUUUAAUAGUGUUCAUGACAUCAGCUGAUAUUCAUACAAACCAAACACCCUGUUUAAAUCAUGUUUCUGAGAAAUGUAUUGCCAUUCUAGAGAAUACAGAAAGACAGACGCCCAACUGUCACCAAUGACCCAGAUUUACUCUUGUCUGGUGGCUUCUUGCUCUGUCCCUCUCUACUUUUCUCUUUUUAGCUUCCUCACCUCUGCCAUUAUGUGCAUAGAGGCUGCUGAGCCCAGUCACAUUGCCGCUGGCCAGCUCUGGUUCUGGCAUGACACCGGCUCUGUUCCCUGUCAGCAUCCCUCUAAACCAAACCACCUGUGGUACAAACACUAGCACUCCUCCAGCACACAGCACGGCUAACAAACUGGGCGUUAUGUAGUAAUAAAUAUUUAUAUUCAUAGCUGAGCUUGGAAUUCAUCAUUUAACAACAAACUUGCUGAAGUAUACAGAAUAAAUAAACCCCGCCUCUUUGUUUUCUUCCAGACUGAAGCCGAAUGGAGUAAAGUCACCUACUUUGCGGUGGCUUCCUCGCUCAACAGCGAGCUUGGCUACGCAGAUAAUGUCGUCUACUCUGUACCUCAGGCUGCCGACCACGCUUCAUCUCCUCUGUACUCGACUGUUAUUUACCGUAGGCAGUAUCUUCAACGCUGUCAAUGCCGAAUGUGCACAGAGUAGUUUGACACGAAAAUCUGUUAAAAAGAGAAGUUGCGCUUCUCUCUCUUUUUUUUUUCUCAUUUCACACACAACAGUAGUCGGUUGUUUUAUGGAAGCUUCUAAUGUGCCACCUUGCCAUGUGUGUGACCACAUUUAGAAAGUGAUAGUGCAGCUGGAAAUGUUGUAACACCAAACAACCCUUUAAAAACAUUUUUAUUUACUAAUUUUCCCACCAGUGGAAAAAAAGUGAACAUUUUUAAUCCUGAUGGCCUCUCACUGAGCUUUAUAUUACACAAGUUUUCUGUUUUCUUAAGAACAAAAUAAAAACUGACCAUGCUGUGUUUAAAAAUAAUUUUCUAAAGUGAAGUUCAUUCGUUUUCAUUCUUUCUGAGUACAAGAACUCCCUUUUUAACUUUUUUUUAAAGAUACAGAUAUAUGACAGGAAUGAAUUAUUAAUGAAAUAAAAUUUUAAAGAAACAAUAUGUCAGAUAUUUACUGUAUUAAAUCAUAAAAUGACCAUGCUAUGUCAUCAGAGAUGAAGGAAACAUGCUCAACUUAAAUGCUGGCUUCCUGACAGUACAGUACUACAGCCAGUAUGUUCUCUUUUGUAAAUCGGCCUUACAGUCCAGACAGUUCCACAUUGCCAGAUAUGAAACAAAUCAGAUGCAAACACUGCGUUGCAUAGCCAUGCAAGCAAACAAAAUGCAUCAAUGGAGUUCAUGUUAGAUUCAAUAGUGCAUAGUGCAAACUGACAAAGUCACCGUAAGACUUACCGCCCAUACCUGUCUCUAACUGUGGGAGACAGAGACGGAUGCUGUGACUCAUGGGGACUCUGUAUCACCUGUUUUUUUUUUUUUUGUUGUUUUUUUUCUCAGAAGUUGUCAAAAACACGACAACCUCCACAACAUUAUUGUUGUAAACAAUGUUUCUUCUACUUGCAUCCAUAGGGGAGUUUAUUUGUGCUGAACAUUACCGCUUUGAAACAAUCAUAAGUAAUGUUUACUUAUGAUAACAAACAGGCACAAAUUAAACAGACUGAAGUCAGACUCAGAGGUAGGUUCAUGAAAUAAACUGUGUUAUACUCAUCCUGUGCUUGUGAAGGUUCAGUGUCUUCAAUCUGGCAACUCUGCAACACUUUGAAUUUGGGUUGCAGUACCAGUUUUAACCUCUAGAUAUCAGUGCGUCACACAUAAAGAUGCACAUUGUUCCUUUAAGUUACAAACAAGCCUGAUAACUGAGCCUGCAGUGUAAAGACAGAGUCAUGAAAAGGGGAGGGGCUCAAUCAUUUAGAGAAGUUCCUGGUUUACCAGUGAAGAAAGAAGAGAGGCUGUCUAAAACCACCAGAGGCUCAAACAUGAACGUCCGUCACACUUUGAUCUGCUUCUUCUUCCUCUCUGCAAACACUGGAAUCAUCAACGCGGCGAUGCCCAUUAUUACAGGAAAGGAGGGAGGAAACAUCACACAUGAGUGCAAAUUCAUUUUAUUUGGACGCUGGAAGGCCCUCUAUAAAGAAAACAGCAGCCUCAUUGAAACAUUUGAGAACAGAGCUCAGUGUGGCAGAUACAGCAUUAAUUAUGCACCAGGAAGGAUUAUAUCUAAAACAGUUCUGUAUGUGAGCAUCACAAACCUGACCAAGUCUGACUCUGGGAGGUACAGAUGUGUUUUGGGCCCUAUGUGGCUUCCAAAUUCAACCGAGGAGUUUGAGCUCAGAGUUGAAGACGACAUCAACACCCCGACAUCAACACAGACUCUAACCUCCAGUUCAGGAAGCUCCACACCUUCAUCAACACAGACACCAGCUGCACGUCCAGCUGGAAACACUGGUCUCAUCACCGAGGGGAUCACCGUUAUUACAGGAAAGGAGGGAGGAAACAUCACACAUGAGUGCAAAUUCUAUUCCAUUGCAAGUCGGAGGGCCUUCUAUAAAGAAAACGACAUUCUCAUUGAAACACAGAAGGACAAAGCUCAGCGUGGCAGAUACAGCAUUGAAUAUAAACCAGCAACAUUAACUUCAUCUCUGUAUGUGAGCAUCACAAACCUGACCAAGUCUGACGCUGGGAAGUACAGAUGUGUUUUGAAAAGAGAUUAUUUUAUAGAAUCAACCGAGGAGUUUGUGCUCAGAGUUGAAGAUGCUCCAAACACUCUGAAACCAAACUGGACUCCUGAACCUUUUCCAACAUCAGUCCCAUCAACCUCCACACCAACAACAACCCAGAGUCUAACCUCCAGCUCAGGAAGCUCCACACCUUCAUCAGUCUCUCCUAAAACCACCCACCAGUCUCAGCAGCAACAGACAGAUGCAGGUCAAGAUACGCUGCUGUAUGUGGGUCUGACUCUGGUCAUCAUGAUCUUCAUGUUAUCAGCAGCUGUGCUGAUAUACUGCAGAAAGAAGGCCAGUAAACCCAAAGGACCUCCUCAGGAAACAGAGUACGUCAAUGUCACAGAGGCCGACCCAGUGUAUGAGGAGAUCAGAGAGGAGGACAGACAGAGCAGAUCUCCUCCUGUAGAAAUAUCUACAGUUUACGCUCACGCCAAAUACACCAAACCAAAUGCAGCUGAAGGCACAGAUGACUACAGCUCGGUCAAUGCAGUCAGCUCUCAGAUGGACACUGAAGACGACUCGAGUAAACUCACCUACUCUGUGGUGGAUUUGUCCAACGGUGCAACUGCCCCGCUCAACAGCGCCCCCCGUGGCGAUGCAGAUAACACCGUCUACUCUGUGCUUCAGGCUGCAGCGAGCUCAGACGACCGCCACGCCGAACACGCUUCAGCUCCUCUGUACUCGACUGUUAAUGUUCAUCAGCAGUAGCUUCAAAGCUGCUGACGUGGGCUGAAUGAAGCCUGGCUGCUCAAACAAGACACCUGUGCUGACACCCACCUGUCAAUCAAAGUGUACGCCAUCUUAACUCUGCAUAACUUAUCCGCCAGUUAUCCAGCAUGGAAAAAUGAGUAAAUAUAUAGUUUUUAAAUGUUUUUUAUUUUUUUGACCUCUUGUACAGACAAGAAGAGAUGUUGAUGACUUUUCGUAGUUCACCCUCUUGUCAUACUUCAUGUACACAAAUUAUCUGUUUUCUUAAAAAAGAAAUAAAACUAAAUAUUUAAAAAGGUUGUUCAAAGCUCUUCCUACUGCAGUUCUACAUAUGUCAUGAAAAUGGGAGGAGGGUUGAGUGUGUGUGGUUUGGAGGAGGGACUCCAUCAUUUAGAGAAGUUCCUGGUUUACCAGUGAAGAAAGAAGAGAGGCAGUCUAAAACCACCAGAGGCUCAAACAUGAACGUCCGUCACACUUUGAUCUGCUUCUUCUUCCUCUCUGGAAACACUGGUCUCAUCACCGAGGGGAUCACCGUUAUUACAGGAAAGGAGGGAGGAAACAUCAGACAUGGGUGCAAAUUCUAUUCCAUUGCAAGUCGGAGGGCCUUCUAUAAAGAAAACGACAUUCUCAUUGAAACACAGAAGGACAAAGAUCAGCGUGGCAGAUACAGCAUUGAAUAUAAACCAGUAACAAUAACUUCAUCUCUGUAUGUGAGCAUCACAAACCUGACCAAGUCUGACGCUGGGAAGUACAGAUGUGUUUUGAAAAGAGAUUAUUUUAUAGAAUCAACCGAGGAGUUUGUGCUCAGAGUUGAAGAUGCUCCAAACACUCUGAAACCAAACUGGACUCCUGAACCUUUUCCAACAUCAGUGCCAUCAACCUCCACACCAACAUCAACACAGAGUCUAACCUCCAGUUCAGGAAGCUCCACACCUUCAUCAA